rnacentral:rRNA from 1 species
GGGUGCGUCCAGGGAUAUAUCAAAGAUUGGGGGCCCCCAAGCGGCGACACGUGGGUUUAUUGGCGCACGCGAGGCCUUACCAAAGCUUUACAUCCCCGGGGACCCUGGAGGACGGGUCCCCCGGUGGGUCGGGGACAGGUUGGGCAUGGCUUUCGUCCAGUUGUUUCGUGAGAAUGUUGGGUUAAGUCCCGCCAACGAGCGGCACCCUUGGUCCCGUGUUGCCAGCAGGCCCUUGUGGGGCUGGGGACUCACGGGAGACCGCCCGGGGCAACUCGGAGGAAGGGUGGGGGGGGACGUCAAGUCAUCAUGCCCCUUAUGUCUUGGGCUGCACACGUGCUACAAUGGCCGGUACUAUGAGCUGAGAAUACCGCGAGGUGGAGCGAAUCUCAAAAAGUCGGUCUAAGUUUGGAUUGGGGUCUGCAACUCGACCCCAUGAAGUCGGAGUCGCUAGUAAUCGCAGAUAAGCAUGAAGACGCUGUC